rnacentral:lncRNA from 1 species
CCUCCCAAAUCGUAGUCGCCGCCGGCUCACCAUUUGUCCAUAUCAUUGCUCACCACGGCUCCCAUCCCUUCUGGUUGCUUUGGCGUUGAUUGAUUUUGGCGUCUACCCGUCUAGGGUUUCAAGCUCAGCGUCGGCGUUUCAGGUGAAAAAUCUAUUACUCUGCGUGAUUUUGUUUCCCUCCUAGGUAAUCGAGUGUAGCUGCUGAGUUAAUUGUAUGCAUGUGCAGCUCUGUGUAGUUUUUGUUAUCUCCCGUGUUAAAACUUCGAUUGGCUAACCUCUUAGCAUAAAAUUACGAGCUCCUUGCUUGAUCCAGACGCAGGUGCAGGCUGGGCUAGAUGUUUUUAUUUAUUUAAUUUUGGGCACUGAAAGUGAUACUCGGCGUUGCUGAGUUUUUGCAUUGCGAGGAUUCAAUCUUAGGAGAUUUAUUUAGUUGUCGCGCUUGAUGUUGUAAUUUGUGCCGCAAUGUUGGAGAUGCCCUUCGAGUUCUGCAUUGUUGUUGGUGGGUGUCACAGUUUUCCUUGAUUCUAGGGAUGCCAUGCUUUCGGUAGUGGCACCCCUAUAUGUUAUCAUGUUGUGAGCGCUGAGAGCCAUAGAUGUAGUAUCAGAAACUUAAGCUGUGUUGUAGUUUGUUGUUUCAUGAUUCUGGAUUUUGUGAACAAUAACCGUGGACAUCUCAAGUAUAAUGACCAGAAAUGGAGGAGGAUGAGUAUUUUUGUUUUGCAAAUAGUGGAUUAUAAUUUGCACAUCAUUUGUUCCUAUUUGUGAUGGUUCCACAAGCUUUGGGUUGUAAUACCCUAUUUGUAUUUGGUUUGCAUGCUCUUCAUGCAUAGUUCAUGUAUAAGUAUGCCACGGGUUAUGCUCCUAUAUGCCACUAAAAUUCAGCGUACCCUUCUCGGCUGUGAAUGUACAAUUCAAUGAAGAGCAACUGCAGAAAUAUCGCAAUUGUAUUUCUUUGGAUGGCUUACUCAGUCAGUUUAAACCAGGUUUUUAGAACGUCUUCAGUGCUUUUGUAGCAACUAUGCGUUUAUGCAAUAGCUUCAGAUUUUGAAAAGGCAAUUAUUAUUGCAAUGGUGGAGGUUUGGCAUAUAAAAUGGUCACUGGAGAACUGGAUUGUUUCACUAAAAUUUAAAGCAUGUGUAAGGAUGAAUUGUUUCACUAAACAUCAUGAUCCGUUGCAUGUUUCAUGCUACUGCCAAAAUAUAUUAAUUUUCACCAUUUGGAAAGGAAAAUACAACACUGGUCCUCCUUUGUGAUUUGACCAACAUCUUUUGUGGAAAUUGUGGUUUGUGGGGUUGGCGUGCUCUGUAUUCAAACAUUGCAAUUUGCACGCUUAGUAGCUGUCAUUGGUGUUUUGACAUUUCUGUGUUCGAUAUGCAAUAAUUAGUACAAAUCCACUUGAGUUGGCCGAGGCUCAGUGUCAUUUAUUGAAGUUCAGACUCCGCAACAGAACCAAAUGAUUACAUUGGUUUGUAGAGAGGCUUCUACUGGUCUGCCUUAACCAAAGCUUCUUCCAGGAGCAGGUUAUAUUAACAGGUACUUUCCUGUUUGUUUUCUAGUUCUUGAAGGGGAAAUACCCCUUGGCCCUUGGGCGUAUAUGCACCUGAUAUGGGAAAAAAAUAGUAUUUGCGAAAAAAGUCAAAAAAUUCUGAAACUUUUUUAAAAACAAACAUGACCUUCUGGAGGUGUUUGGAUUAGAGAAUGGUAACGUAAAUAGAUUACGCUGUUAACGGGGAUGUAAUGGAUAAAUCACUGUUUUGUUUGGUUCAUGCCUGUAAAGGAAUUGAGUUAGGGUGUCUUCUUCGGGGUUCUCAUGGCCGGUGGCUGAAAAAGAAGAAGAGCAGACAAGGGAUGGGAAGGAGAGCAGACAAGGGAUNNNNNNNNNNNNNNNNNNNNNNNNNNNNNNNNNNNNNNNNNNNNNNNNNNNNNNNNNNNNNNNNNNNNNNNNNNNNNNNNNNNNNNNNNNNNNNNNNNNNNNNNNNNNNNNNNNNNNNNNNNNNNNNNNNNNNNNNNNNNNNNNNNNNNNNNNNNNNNNNNNNNNNNNNNNNNNNNNNNNNNNNNNNNNNNNNNNNNNNNNNNNNNNNNNNNNNNNNNNNNNNNNNNNNNNNNNNNNNNNNNNNNNNNNNNNNNNNNNNNNNNNNNNNNNNNNNNNNNNNNNNNNNNNNNNNNNNNNNNNNNNNNNNNNNNNNGACAAGGACGAGCUGAGGCGGCGAUGGCUACCAGGAGACGGGGCCGCGAAAAGAGGAGAAGGAGCACGUCCGGUUACUCUCCGGCCAUUAGAGACGGGAGGAGCCAGCUCAACUGCGACGGCGCUAGGUUCUUUUGGGAGGUGGCGACGCUGGUCGAGGAGGAGGAGGGGAUCAUGGGAGGAGAAGUUGCGGUAACGGAACCAUUUACGUAGGGGUGCGGGUGGUAUCGAUCGAGAGAUAGCAUGUACCCGUUUACGGAGGCAGCCGAUUACAGCUUAUAUGAAACAAACACGUGUAACGUCUUCCGAUUACACCGUAAACAAGUAACGUGGAUUUCUCCCCGAAACAAACACCUCCUCUGUUGUACUAGUAUAAAAAGUUUCACGAAGAAAAACAAGCGUCGUCUUCAGGGAAAACAUAAAUAAAAAUUUUGAGGACAAAAUGUGUGAAUAGUAACUUGUAUAUAGUGUUGUUUAGUUUUUUUCCCAUCCAGAAUACCAUGAAAGUCAAUCCCUGACGGAACUUUUUAUAUGAGUACAACAGAAUUCCUUUACAGGCAUGAACCAAACUUUUUAUAUGAGUACAACAGAAUGUCAAGUUUGUUUCCAAAGAUGUUUCAAAUUCGUUGAACUUUUUUUUCGCAAUUACUAAAUUACUUUUUCAUAUCAGAUGCAUAUACACCCGAGAGCCAAAGGUGCUUGUCCUUUCUUGAAGGCUAUUCUAAACAGUUCUGUAUUACCUCUGAAGAAACCGUAUACUGUUCAGAUAAGAAACUAGAGCUGAGCUGCCUUAGCUUAUACUUGGCCAUCAAGCAUGUGAGCAAAUGUUUUUAGCAAUAGUAGUUAGGGUAGCUUCCCAAAAACAUGUCUUUUAGUGCUUAAUUAGAUCUCUUUUAGCUCUGUAGAGUGUAAAAAUCCGCAACGUGUCAAGCAUCAUGUUGUAGUAUAAAACUAUGGUGAACAAUCACGCAAGAGAGAAAAGCUUUAGCAAAGCUAACUGCACAUUCUCAAAGCACAGCCUCAAAAGAAUACAAGGACUGUCCCUCUCAAACCUUUUAAAACUCUGAUUCUUACCCCAGCCCCACACAAGAAUCUAAUCCUAAAGAACAUAACCUCUUAUCCUCUCAAGCCCUGACAAUUGUUUCUUCCUUGCUCUGUCCUUGGGUGUGGUUGCUAAAUUAUUGUUCCUUGCGUGUCCUCCUUGCGCAGCAAGUAGAACUCCUUAUUAAUGUAGGGCUCCUAGCUCAAAUUCAAAUAGGACUGGGAUAUGAGUCACACCCUGAACGACCGUCCUUUUAUUCAACGUGCUCUCUUUUCAGGAGUAUAUGUGAGUUGGCUAAGCUGUUAUAACACUUUAUGGAUGUAAAUUUCUUCAGGAUUUGGUAACUCAAUGAUGUCCAGGAAAUAUUUGUGUUAUCAGUGGUAUUAAUUAUCAGUGGUAUUAACCUGGGGCUGGACAACCUUUGUCUGUUGUGAAGAGCACCAACAGAAUCAGAAUGCUGUUAGAUGUUAUUUCUGUCCUAUCGUUUGUUGAAUGGACUAAGAAAGAGAUUGUUGCUUGUAGUAUUGGUACGAUGAGGUGAAGUUUGAACAUCAACUAGUUUUUAACUCUUCCCACCAUCUCUCCUUGGCAGUUGAGAAUUUUGGUGUUUUGGUUUCCCUGUGCUGAAUAUAGCUUUGACUUAAUGAAAUUGUGCUCUAUACUGUCAUGUAACAUUGGAUGUAUACGGAUAGCUGUUGGCCCUAGAAAUACUGGCUAAAUCUACAAAUUUGUUAGAGAUCAAGUCCCUCUGCUCACACAAAACCUUUGCCACUUCCACUAUUUCUCCCCAUCAUUUUCUCUCCUUGUUCAACAUGAUAUCUGGUAGCGACGCAACUACGUAAAGCACAUUCCGAUUGGAUACUAAUAUAUUUAAUAUUCCCUUUCGAAAUAUACUCUAUACUGCAUCGAGACGAGUUUCACUUUCCCUUUGAACAUCAUCUCGUUUGCUAGGCAACAAGCCUGAUACUUCGUAGAACCAUUGUUGUCGGGGCUCUGCAGCUUAUCACCAACAAUAGCAGUACCAUUUACUUCACUUCAAGUCCGCUUUUGAUCUAAAUUAUUUAUUUCCUUUUGUGCUAGUUUCUGCAAGUGGAGGCGGCAAGCUAGAGACAGCAACUGCAUAAUUUGCAAGAAAAUCGUAAGUUGUACAAAUACAUACUCUUUCUAUUAUUCAUGAGAAAAUGACAUAUAUAUCACUCAUUCUUACUAUGUAAUUAGAUAAUGCGUCCUAACUUUCUUUCUGAGUUUCCCCGUUGCUCAGAUUCACAUGUUUUUCUUAACAUUUGCUGAAAGUCAUCUAUAGAAAUAUUUGAAUCCAGGAUAUAAAAAUUUAAUUGGUUUAGAGCUGCUUUAUCUGCAUGCAGAUGACAACAAGAAAAUCACAAGUUGCACAAGAUACUUUAUAUUCAUGAGAAAAUGACAUAGAUUUCUGUAUAUAUUUAUAUUUGUCCACAGAUCAUUUUUAAUAGAUAUGUAUCGGUACUUUGUAGUAGACCUUAGUGCUCGUGCAGUUUGCUCAAAAUUAACAUGAUUUGUCGAAACAUUGUUGAAAUCAAUCUAUAAAGAUAAGAAUUCCGGGUAUGAUAAAUUCAGUUGAUCUGGAGCUGCUUUAUCUGCAUAUGAAUCACAAAUGCUGCUGACAGAUAUGUGUGUAUUGUACACCCGAGAACCUGACUUACUUGAAGCUAUUUUAAUGCGGAAAUGGUUGAAGCAGUCCUGGAGUAUUGAGGAACAAAUUUUGUACUCCCUCCGUAAAGAAAUAUAAGAGCGUUUAGAUUACUAAAGUAGUGAUCUAAACACUCUUAUAUUUGUUUACAGAGGAAGUAUUUAAUAUGAACUUAUAGAUAAAUUUGUUCCUGUCAUUCAUGAAUUCAUAAUAUUGAUGUGGCGGUAAUGUUUACUCCCCUCAGGUAUUAUUAGGUGUAUUUUAAUUGUCAAAGUUUAUGCGUUGACCAAGAACUAUAGUACAAUUAUAUGCGGGUUACUUGAUGCAACAUUUGUAGCAUUUGAUUUGUAUUCUGAAGUAGUUCCUUAUGAUUGUGAUUUCUAACUAUUAACAAAAGAUCGUAGAAGAAGCUUGUGGUGAAAGUUUGAAUUUUGAUAAAAAAGAUACGCGUUAUGUAUCCAGAGCUAUAGGGACCCAUGGCAUAGAGUUCCAGGAUAUAUCAUUAUUUUGCUAUUAAUCCUUUAGCUAAUCAGGUGAAUAUUGGUAACCAACAAUCUUUGUUUACCGUGAUGUAUGAACGGACAAAGUAUUUCCACCUGUUAGCUAAGCUAUAGUGGCUCUCUUGCCAUAGUAUUUAUUUCCAGUUAAUUUCUCUGUGCCCGAGUGAUACUUUUUAUUAGCCUUUGCGAACAUGCAAGCAGUGGCAUACUUAGAAAUGGAGAAAUGUAAACCCUGUCACACACCACAGAACUUUCUAAGAAUGAUGGCAGAAAAAAGCGGUAACUGAAUUUUGCUCAAUCCACACUUCACACCUUUUGUCAGUAAGCUAGCUGCUCAUGCAGUUGAAUAAACUCACAGAAUGUGUUAAAUUGUUCUAAUACAACCAUUUGCACAACAGAUUAAUCCUUCCAUGGAGUACAUUUUAUUUGUAACAGAUUUACACUACCGUUUAUCAAUCGGUCGUCACAUGCGAACCACUUAUGUCUUGCUAUUGGUUUAGGUUCUUUACAACCAAUAGUAUUCUGGCUGCUCUGAAUUGUAUCCCUUGAUAAUAAUAAUAACAAGAGUAAUCCCAUACCCCACGAUCGUCAUGGAUGUAGUUGCAAUCUGCAAGAUUUAAUGUAAGUCAUAAUCAAAGAAAUUUGUGAUUGAAACUUAUAAAGAGCCGAGAAAAGAGUCAAUAGAUCCCGUGCAGAAAAAAACAAACAUGUACCCUAGUUUAGGGGGCGCAGUAUGCUCAACAUCAUUUUGUUGCUGCGGGGAAUUGAGUUCAAGAUCAACAGAAACAUUGGCAUCUUCAACAACUGCAAAAUUGUAUGGAGUUCUUGAAUUUCGGUUAACUUCAGUCACUGCCUCCGUCUCAGAGAGCUGAAUAGAGAAUUAAACAAAAGUCAAUCAUGGAAAUCAUUCGUGUGAUUUCAACUAUCAUGAUUAAUUCAAUACCUUUUUCUGUAACUCAACAUUUUCCUGACGAAUUAGGUUAAUCUUUUUGUAUAAUUCCAUGUUUUCUUGGUGGACAAGACUCCCCUGCAAAUAAAUGAAUAGUCAGUUUGUUGAAAUAUUUCAUACGUUUCAGGCUGGUAAAUGUUGUAGUACCUUGUGAUUCAGUUCAUGAAUCUCAUCAAUCAAGAUUUGGUCCUGAAAGAAACAUUAGUGCUCCUCUGUUAGUCUUUUUGGAGGAACCUGUGACGUGUAUAUAUAACAAGUGUUUUGCAUGUUGACCUUUUUUGUCCGGAUGCAACGCAGACUUAUUUCCAGUUGAUUUUCUAGAGCCUGCAGUUCCUUGACACCCAUUCCAGAAAGAUCUUGUCCCAUCAACUGCCUGCAAUUAAACAAUGUUGCGCGUGUUUUGACUGAAUGUAUAUAGGGAACAUUUCAGAAUAUUUCCAUAGCCUCUGAUCCAACUGUGAAUUAGUGAAAUGUUGUAUUUCAAUUUAUUACUCCCUCCGUCCCAUGAUAUAAGAGCGUUUUUGACACUACACUAGUGUAAACAACACUCUUAUAUUAUGGGACGGAGGGAGUGGAUCUGUGUAAGUUUUAUCUUUUUCAGGUAGUUACGGUCUUACGGAUUAGGCUUCUGUAGAAUGCAACUGUUGAUUUUCUGCUGGGUGGGGGUUUGACAAACCAGAGUGCUCUGACAGUAACAGUAAAUAGCUGAAGUUUUUUGAACUGGUCAUUGGUUUGCAUGGGAAAUUACUAACUUAAUUUCAUCUUUAUAUUUCUUUCAUUUCUAGAAGUCAAAACUGACACCCACAUAAACAGAGGAUUGUUCUGUGGAGUCAGCAUACCUAGUUCCCACAGAAAAUAUUGUACUCUUGUGCGUUUGGCUUAUUGUCUAUGAAACCAAGUUUCAUCUUUACAUCCAAAGGCUAUCUGCUUUCGAAUGCAAUAAUUUGUCACAAAAUUAAAUAUUCUACACAGUGAAUAGCUAUUAAUGCAUGGACUCUGUUGUGCAUUUUGAGUUUUGUAUCCUUCGUAAUUGAGUAUCAUGAAUUAUUUUCUUGAAAGAAUUAAGUUUCUUUUAUAGCACAUUUAAAGAUUGUAGUUGCUGGAUGGUGUACACUUGUGCUGAUAGCGCGGUACUCUUAUAAAUUUGACAAAUUUCUGAUAAAUAAAUACGGAAAAUUUUCAGGUUUUCGGGCCAUACCGAUGAUUUUCUUGCAAGUUGUGCAGUUGUUGUCUCAAGCUUGCUGCCUCCCUUUGCCAGAACUAUGGAAUUUGAACUUACAGUUAAGUAAUGCCACAUCAGGUUUGCCAAAAGUAUUAAAAUAGACAUGGUGCAUAGAAAAGCAUGAUUGCCCUAUCACUAUCAGUGUCAUGAAAGUACUGAAUCACAUGGUAAUAUCUGCAACUUUAUUUGACUGGGUAUAAUUCAUACAAUAAAUGUUGAGAGGACAAAUAGGUUAUAGGAUAAAAUAUAAUGCAAGUGGGAAACCUUUGGUUUUGUUUCCUUCGGGUACUUCACUCCAAUGACUGUCAAGGUGCACCCAAAAAAAGUGACUUGGUGAUAUCAGGUUGAACAUAUAUUUAUACACCCCACAUGAUUUGUUGUCUUAUGCCAUCUCUAAUUCUCUCAAAUGCUUCUGUGAGGCAAAUCAACCUUUUAGCAUGUGAGCUUCUAAAGAAGUAUGAGCUAGAGGCAGAACAGGUCUGGAAACUCGUUAUUAUCCUGCUGGAAGAAGAUUUCGUGUGGCAGUAGAAGGUCUCAGUUUGUCUCAGUUUGAUUCAGAACUGUCAUUUGGGGUUCAUCUCACAAGUUUCAAUAUAGACUGAAGGAUUUGUAUGUGUUGUACAUGUUUCCUUAGCUUCCAUUAUUCCUUCUGAGAAGUUCUGUUAUGUUGGUCUUACAUAUUUGAUUUUCUGUCCGAGGUUCAAAGGAGAUUAGGAUUCGGAUAGGAGCUGUAUGCACAAGAGCUCUUUUCAAAUGGUUUCCUACAUGAGAAUUCCUACCCCGUUUGCUGUUUCUUCUUUGGCCAAUAUUUGCAUCAUCUUGCGGCCUAUAAUCCUCAAGGUUGUUCUGUAACUGCAGAAUUUAGCGAAGGGACGACGAGCUAACUUAGUGAGAAAUACACUCGUGUUGGUUGAUACCAUUCUAGUUGAGCUUUGAUGUUUAGUUCUGUAGUUAAUCUGACGGGCCAUUUAAAUGUAAAACAAACGGUGCUGCAGACAGCACAAUCUUAGGUUCACCUCAAUAAGCUUCAAUAGUCAAGUAAAUUGCAGUUCAGCUUGAUGCUCACAAACUAGUUUCAUCAGGUGCACCGCCGCAAGGCCAUUUUGGUCAGCUUGGAUUUGAUUAGUAGUGUUUAUAUCUGUCAUCUGUUUAGAGUUCUAAUCUGGCUUUGCUAAACCCUACAAUUUGUUUGUAGUCAAGAAUACCAGUCUGCCAAUACAUUUUGUUCUAUGAAGGCGUUUUCAACCUCUGAUUGCAAGUUGAAGCAGUUGGCUCAACACUGGGUGUUGGCACAACAUCCAUGCCAUUCAACAGGGGUUCAUUAAGAUUUAAAGAGUCUUUUCCAUUUGGUCAGCGGUUGGUCAUCGGUGGUGGUGUUAGCUCACAAUUUUCCUGUCUGAGACGUUGCAACAAUAGUCAGUUUGAGGUGAAAAGUCUGGAGCUGGAUCCUGAAUUUAAGGGCCUUUUCCCAAUUUACAUGGAUGAACUGCUAUCACUUUUUAGUUCGGCUGAUGAUGGGCCUCCUGAGUCUGUAUGAUGAGCCAGCAUGAUUUGCCAAAAAAGGGUAUUUGCAAAUCUAUGUUGCUUGAGAUUUUCUUAUGCCUACAAGUGAUACACUAAGCCGUCUGCCCAGUCUAACGCCUCUGUUGAGAUUAAUUCACAUGAUUCUAAAAACACAAGAAUAUGAGAAACACACAAUUGCAAUAUCAUGUCCAUUUGAAUCCUACAAGAUUUUGGUUUGUUU